rnacentral:snRNA from 1 species
GUGCUCACUUCGGCAGCACAUACACUAAAAUUGGAAUGAUACAGAGAAGAUUAGCAUGGCCCCUGCGCAAGGAUGGCACGCAAAAAAAAAAUAAAAAAAUUUA